rnacentral:misc_RNA from 1 species
AGAAAGUACCGUGUUUAAUGUUUAUUUACAUUGACGCAACCAUGGCGACGGAGGACGCUCACUCCGCGCUGGUAACAGAACUAAACACCAUUUUGAGCGAUUUGCAGAACACCAACAAGGCCAAGAGAAGAAAGGCACUUGAGAGACUCCAUCACCUUGCAUUUGAGACUGAAGCUCACGAAAACCAGGAAGCACAGGGCAAAAUAUUGGACUUUUCACUGAAACAUCUCGUCACGUGUUUGGCGGAUCAGUCUGAGGUGAACAGGACAAAAUCAUCGGAAAUCCUCCUUACCUUUAGCCUGAAAGGAGUGGUGAAGCAAGGCCAGCUAGUGCACCUCAUCCCUUCCCUCCACCACAGACUGGCCACCCUGCCACAAGUGGAGGAAAGCGAGGAUGUCAGAUUGAUACAAGUUAACAUCAUUUCUAGCCUCACCACGCAGUUCCAAGGGGCGAUGGUGCCUUUUAUGAACGAUGUUGUGGGUGUGCUGAAGGAGGUGGUGCUGGACGUAAGCCCUGAAGUGCGCAAGGCGGCCGCGGAGUGUGUGAGCUGCUUCGCCAAGGCCACCAGAGAAAAGAUCCACAUGCAGUCAGAGUCCCUAGCAAAGCCGCUGGUCAAGGCGCUUCACCACCAGCGCUUCAGGAACAGAGUAGCGGCCAUCACUGCUCUAGGGGACCUGCUGUUGUAUGGUGAUGGCAAAGUCAUUGAGGAUGUGAGUGGUUCUCUCGCUCAGUGUGUCAUGGACCUUCCUCAGGUGCGUCUGGUCUUGGCGGAGGUUGGUGGCAGGCUGGCUCUCCACAUGCCUGACAGAUACUCCUACUGGCACCGCAUCCUGCCGCUGCUGCUCUUUGGCCUGAAGGAUGAGGACAAGGAUGUGAGGUGCAAGGCCACACAACUCUGGGAACAGGUUGGUCGCAAAUAUGAAGAAGAGAACAUGGAUCAGUUGAAGCAAGAAAUUGAUUUUGAUGUGCCCCCAUCAGACUACCCACCUGGAGAGGUUCGUCCAGGCAUUGGGUGUCGCAGUCUGGUGCAGCGCAGCCUCUAUCACAUACUUCCUGGUUUGCUGACUGACCUUGAUGACUGGCAGGCCAGCCCAAGACUGCAUGCUGCCAAGCUCCUUGCAGUGCUCAUCCUUAAUGCUGACUCUGGAGUGACUCAGUAUGCAGAGAAAGUGUUGACAGCACUCCACCUUGCUGCAGGUGACAAGGAGGCCAGCAUUGUUAAGCAGGUGAAUGAGUGUGGGCACUUCCUAGGGUGUUUCCUACCGCCCUCUGUUUUUCUGCCACUGGUGCUACCAAGGCUGGGCGCCGGCUACCAUGGGGAGCGGCCCCUCGUUGUCUUGGCAGCUCUGGUUGAGGGAAGCAGCACCGCCCUUCUCCAGCCUUGCCUUCCUGACCUCAUUUCAGCACUGGGAGAGGAGGAUGUGGCCUUGGUGUUUGGAGAGGCUCACCAGGAGGCUCUGCUGUGUGUCAUCAGAACUUUGCUAAACAAAUGUGAUUUCUCUGAGAACAGCUUCAAAAUGUUCUACCUAUUGCUCUUCAUUGCAUCUUCCUCUUCUGGUGAGAAUGCAACUGUAGCACAGGAGGGACUGAGAGAACUCUCCAGGAACUGUGGCCAUGAAGAAGUACAGGAACUUUAUCAGAAGCACACUCGAGAAGUUCUAGACAGGCUACUGGAAACAGUUGGGGGCUGGACUGAGGGCUCCCCAUCUUUCUUGCUGCUGGGAGGCCUCAUGAAACUAGCUGGUCCAGCUCUUGGUCAUGAGCUGGAGAUCCUCACCAAGAUACUGACAGCAUGCACAACCAAGGGGGAAGAUCCAUUUGUUUGCCUCCACUGCCUGACCCAGCUGAGACACCUCCUGCUUGAGGAGAGCCAGCCCCUUGCUGCUGGUGGCCAGCUGGAAGCAUGGCUGCCUGUCCUUGUCUCCAAAAGUAUGCGAGGGCACCUGGCGUGGCGUGCUGGGGCCACCGCAGAGACCCUCAGGACAGCAGCUGUAGCCUGCCUGGAGGCGGCAUGCAGAACGGGAUUGACUGCCCAGCCAAUGAUGGAAGAGGUGAAGGAGUGUACUGUGCUCCUGCCAGCACUGAUAGAGGAUGAUGCAGAGAUGACUCGGCUGUUUGCAUGCAGUGUGGUGCAGUGUGUGGCCACCACAUACACCUGUCUCAUUGAUACAAAAACUCUCCACACCUUGGCAGACAGAUCUGUGUAAGGAUGCUUUGAUCUUCCUGGAUGACCCUGAUGAGCAGCUCCAAGAGACAGUGUGUGAAUGGCUGGAAAGAAUGAAGGUUGUGUGUCCUGACAUACUCAU